GGACGAACGCUGGCGGCGUGCUUAACACAUGCAAGUCGAACGGAAAGGCCUGCUUUCCCUUGUGGAUUGCGGGUACUCGAGUGGCGAACGGGUGAGUAACACGUGAGUGAUCUGCCCCCAACUUGGGUAUAAGCCUGGGAAACUGGCUCUAAUUCCCGAUAGGACUGCAGGGUGGUGCCUGUGGUGGAAAACGAUUUUCUAGUGGUUGGGGAUGAGCUCGCGGCCUAUCAGCUUGUUGGUGGGGUAAUGGCCUACCAAGGCGGCGACGGGUAGCCGGCCUGAGAGGGUGGACGGCCACAUUGGGACUGAGAUACGGCCCAGACUCCAGCGGGAGGCAGCAGAGGGGAAUAUAGCACAAUGGGCGGAAGCCUGAUGCAGCGACGCCGCGUGGGGGAUGACGGCCUUCGGGUUGUAAACUCCUUUCGACCGCGAGAAAGCCACCUGGUUGGAAGGGUGGUGACGGUAGUGGUAGAAGAAGCACCGGCUAACUACGUG
rnacentral:rRNA from 1 species